rnacentral:rRNA from 1 species
GCAUCAUUUUUAUAUUAAAGAAUUUCGGUACAAGAUGAGCAUGCGUCCCAUUAGCUAGUUGGUAUGGUAACGGCAUACCAAGGCUUUGAUGGGUAGGGGUCCUGAGAGGGAGAUCCCCCACACUGGUACUGAGACACGGACCAGACUCCUACGGGAGGCAGCAGUGAGGAAUAUUGGUCAAUGGACGCAAGUCUGAACCAGCCAUGCCGCGUGCAGGAUGACGGUCCUAUGGAUUGUAAACUGCUUUUGUACGGGAAGAAACGACUCUACGUGUAGGGUUUUGACGGUACCGUAAGAAUAAGGAUCGGCUAACUCCGUGCCAGCAGCCGCGGUAAUACGGAGGAUCCAAGCGUUAUCCGGAAUCAUUGGGUUUAAAGGGUCCGUAGGCGGUUUUAUAAGUCAGUGGUGAAAUCCGGCAGCUCAACUGUCGAACUGCCAUUGAUACUGUAGAACUUGAAUUAUUGUGAAGUAACUAGAAUAUGUAGUGUAGCGGUGAAAUGCUUAGAUAUUACAUGGAAUACCAAUUGCGAAGGCAGGUUACUAACAAUACAUUGACGCUGAUGGACGAAAGCGUGGGGAGCGAACAGGAUUAGAUACCCUGGUAGUCCACGCCGUAAACGAUGGAUACUAGCUGUUCGGAAGCAAUUCUGAGUGGCUAAGCGAAAGUGAUAAGUAUCCCACCUGGGGAGUACGAACGCAAGUUUGAAACUCAAAGGAAUUGACGGGGGCCCGCACAAGCGGUGGAGCAUGUGGUUUAAUUCGAUGAUACGCGAGGAACCUUACCAGGGCUUAAAUGUAGAGUGACAGGACUGGAAACAGUUUUUUCUUCGGACACUUUACAAGGUGCUGCAUGGUUGUCGUCAGCUCGUGCCGUGAGGUGUCAGGUUAAGUCCUAUAACGAGCGCAACCCCUGUUGUUAGUUGCCAUCGAGUAAUGUCGGGAACUCUAACAAGACUGCCGGUGCAAACCGCGAGGAAGGUGGGGAUGACGUCAAAUCAUCACGGCCCUUACGUCCUGGGCUACACACGUGCUACAAUGGCCGGUACAGAGAGCAGCCACCUGGUGACAGGGAGCGAAUCUAUAAAGCCGGUCACAGUUCGGAUUGGAGUCUGCAACCCGACUCCAUGAAGCUGAAUCGCUA